CUACGGGCUGCUGCAGUGGGGAAUUUUGGACAAUGGAGGAAACUCUGAUCCAGGGAUACCGCGUGGGUGAUGAAGAUUUACGGAUUGUAAAGCCCUUUUAGUAGGGAAAAUAAUGAUGGUACCUACAGAAAAAGCAUCAGCUAACUCUGUGCCAGCAGCUGCGGUAAUACAGAGGAUGCGAGUGUUAUUCGGAAUCACUGGGCGUAAAGGGCGCGUAGGCGGUUAUUUAAGUCCGCAAUGAAAUACCGGGGCUCAACUUCGGUGCUGUUGUGGAUACUGUUUAACUAGAGAACGGAAGAGGUGAGUAGAAUUCCUGGUGGAGAGGUGAAAUUCUUAGAUAUCAGGAGGAAUGCCAGAGGCGAAAGCGGUUCACUGGGACGUUUCUGACGCUGAGGCGCGAAAGCGUGGGGAUCAAACAGGAUUAGAUACCCGGGUAGUC
rnacentral:rRNA from 1 species